GACGAACGCUGGCGGCGUGCCUAAUACAUGCAAGUAGAACGCUGAAGAGAGGAGCUUGCUCUUCUUGGAUGAGUUGCGAACGGGUGAGUAACGCGUAGGUAACCUGCCUUGUAGCGGGGGAUAACUAUUGGAAAUGAUAGCUAAUACCGCAUAACAAUGGAUGACACAUGUCAUUUAUUUGAAAGGGGCAAUUGCUCCACUACAAGAUGGACCUGCGUUGUAUUAGCUAGUAGGUGAGGUAACGGCUCACCUAGGCGACGAUACAUAGCCGACCUGAGAGGGUGAUCGGCCACACUGGGACUGAGACACGGCCCAGACUCCUACGGGAGGCAGCAGUAGGGAAUCUUCGGCAAUGGGGGCAACCCUGACCGAGCAACGCCGCGUGAGUGAAGAAGGUUUUCGGAUCGUAAAGCUCUGUUGUAAGUCAAGAACGAGUGUGAGAGUGGAAAGUUCACACUGUGACGGUAGCUUACCAGAAAGGGACGGCUAACUACGUG
rnacentral:rRNA from 1 species